rnacentral:lncRNA from 1 species
UUCCCACACUCUGGCAGACACGGUGCGUGUCGGACGGCUCGCUUUUGCCUUUUUUAUUGACUCGUUUACGUGGCCGGCCGGGAAGGCCACAUGCUCAAAGUGCUCUCUUACAUCAGUGUCAGGCGCCUGACCCCAGCCCCUGCCAUCAUCUUUUACGGGAUCGUUGCGACCAUUUAUAUCAUUCCUGGUGACAUAAACUCCCUCGUCAAUUACUUC